UACGAAGGGGGGCUAGCGUUGCUCGGAAUGACUGGGCGUAAAGGGGCGCGUAGGCGGCUUGCACAGUCAGGCGUGAAAUUCCUGGGCUCAACCUGGGGGACUGCGCUUGAGACGUGUGGGCUUGAGUGGGGAAGAGGGUCGUGGAAUUCCCAGUGUAGAGGUGAAAUUCGUAGAUAUUGGGAAGAACACCGGUGGGCGAAGGCGGCU
rnacentral:rRNA from 1 species